GGUCGGUUAGCUCAGUUGGUUAGAGCGUGGUGCUAAUAAGCUAUUGCUUGUGAUACGCCAAGGUCGCGGGUUCGACCCCCGUACUGACCA
rnacentral:tRNA from 1 species